UGAGUAACCUGCCCUUAACUCUGGGAUAAGCCUGGGAAACUGGGUCUAAUACCGGAUAUGACUCCUCAUCGCAUGGUGGGGGGUGGAAAGCUUUGUUGUGGUUUUGGAUGGACUCGCGGCCUAUCAGCUUGUUGGUGAGGUAAUGGCUCACCAAGGCGACGACGGGUAGCCGGCCUGAGAGGGUGACCGGCCACACUGGGACUGAGACACGGCCCAGACUCCUACGAGAGGCAG
rnacentral:rRNA from 1 species